GCCAGUGUGGUACAGUGGUUUGAGCAUUGAGCUACAACUCAGGAGAUCAGGGUUCAGUUCCCUGCUUGGGCA